GACGAACGCUGGCGGCGUGCUUAACACAUGCAAGUCGAACGGAAAGGCCCUGCUUUUGUGGGGUGCUCGAGUGGCGAACGGGUGAGUAACACGUGAGUAACCUGCCCUUGACUUUGGGAUAACUUCAGGAAACUGGGGCUAAUACCGGAUAGGAGCUCCUGCUGCAUGGUGGGGGUUGGAAAGUUUCGGCGGUUGGGGAUGGACUCGCGGCUUAUCAGCUUGUUGGUGGGGUAGUGGCUUACCAAGGCUUUGACGGGUAGCCGGCCUGAGAGGGUGACCGGCCACAUUGGGACUGAGAUACGGCCCAGACUCCUACGGGAGGCAGCAGUGGGGAAUAUUGCACAAUGGGCGGAAGCCUGAUGCAGCAACGCCGCGUGCGGGAUGACGGCCUUCGGGUUGCAAACCGCUUUCGCCUGUGACGAAGCGUGAGUGACGGUAAUGGGUAAAGAAGCACCGGCCAACUACGUG
rnacentral:rRNA from 1 species